rnacentral:sRNA from 1 species
CUCGGGCUGACUUCAGAUCCCUGUGCUGCUCCCGGAGUCUUCGCUCCCGCAGGCUCAUACUCAGCCUCAGUUCCUCCAGCUCUUCGGCCAGCAAGUCCUGCUCCUCCAGCAUAAGCUUCCUGAGUCUCUCCCGCCGGACCUCCAGAUUCUUCCUCCUCUCCUCCUCCAUCUUGCCACAGUAGAGGGCGUGCAUGCUAGGUCCCGCGGCGACCGCGACGCCUCGUCCUGCCCCUCGGCCCAGCCUAACCUCUGACUCCUGCGCCUGGCGCCGGAGGUUCGCGGAGAAGAGUUGCCGGCCUUAGCUCGAUCUCGCGCCCGCAGGCUCCGAGGGUCCCGCUGCGCCCGCUGCACAGACGCCAGCCGUUUCCUCGCCGGUUGCCGGGCAGCCCUCGGGACGACGGAGCACCGCGAAGGCCAAACCUCCUUCCGCGCGACACCAGCCGCUCUUCAAGAAAAAAAGGGAGUAGUGGGGAGGUUCUGGCGCGCCCUGGCGGUGGGAGGGAAACCGACAGUCAUUGUUAGUCCUUGAAGUAAGGGAGGAAGAAAGGAAAAGAAUCCUGACCCAAUCUGGAUGGUUACCUGGGGUAGGGGAGUUAGCAAGAAUGAGGUAUGGGGGUGAGUGGUUACCUAGAGAGAGGGAGGGUGGAGGAGUAGGGAUGGGAGGCAGGGGCGCGAGGGUUAGUUGAGGGGUGGAAGAGCUGGGAGGAGGACAGAAACCAAGGGAAUAGGAUAGAAGAGAAAUAAAUCCGUGUUUCUCAAACAAGGCACGUGAGAAUCAUCCCCUGGCCAGAGCGAAGAAAUAAAUGAUUUUCAAAGA